rnacentral:tRNA from 1 species
UCCAAAGUAGCUCAGUCGGUAGAGUAGCGGCCUGUUAAGCCGUUGGUCCCUGGUUCGAACCCAGGCUUUGGAGCCA